rnacentral:lncRNA from 1 species
AUCAUCAUCCAGAUCCAGGUGAGACCCCAUCCCUUGGCCCCUGCGCUUCGCAUGUGGACAUGGGUGUGAAAUUGUUUGGGAGCUAUGGAGAGCGUUACCAUGUCCAUGCCGUCGUUGGACCUGUCCGUGGGCAGGAUUCGUGAGUAGAGCUCCCUCGGCAGGCCAUCGCUGGGCCUCUACCUCCUCAGUGGCUGCUCGUUCGGGCUGUCGUACCAGAUGCCAGCGCUCGUGACGGAAAUGGAGCACCCCUUGAUAGUUGACAUGGCGGCGUGUGCCAUGGACGAGCUCAUCUGGCUCGCCCAAGCCGGCAAGCAAAUCUGGGUCAAGGGAAUGCGGAUGACGCGAGGGAUUUCUCAGCUCAGACGCCUACCGAUCUGUUUAUUUCCUACAAACGCUCCCCAAAAGUUCCAAAUGAUUCUUCCGCCUCUGCCAAGUUCCCCAGAAUCCCCAGGUUGAUGCUGCCCCUGCCCAUCGAUUGGAUCUUGUUCGAUUUCUCUGUUCUGCAGAUCCUGUGUGCAUCCGCUCCAGGUAGUGGCCCUUUGCUCGGCUCCCUUCCUCCUUCGUCCAUGCUUUGAUGGUUCAAUCCACGCUAAUUUUGAGUUCUCGCCCCUGUCUAGCGUCAAAGACUAGCUAGAACUUGAAUUUCCUGUUGCAUGGUUCAUUUUUAUCUACUGUUAAUACAUCACAUUCUUAUGAAGCCGUACAACUCUUUUUUCCUACAAUGGUAACCUAAUGAUUAUCUGAGCACAGUACUUAUUACUACAAUGGUAUAUAUGUGCUAUAGGUAUCACAAGUAAUACCAAUGGUCACAUCAAUUAGAAAUCCUUACACAUAUCGAACUCAAUAACCUGGUGUGCCCUCGCCCAAUGUAUACGAGCAAUGCAAAGGACGAGAGCCUAAUUGAUAAGCAACUAACAAUUAUUUCUGGAGUGGGAUGUACGCACUACAUCCGUAGUGGAAAUAAGAUUAGGUCAUGUGAUUCCAAGUAUACAAUAAAAAGAAAAGGUAUGGAGAAUAUCGUAGGAAACUGUAUUAAAAACAUCAUCGUGAACAUAACAGUCCAAUGCAAAGAAAGAAGAACCAACUAAAACUCAACUUAAUCAUGCAUAUAUAUAUAUAGUUAUUAGCACAUAUGUACUUCACUAGGAGUUAAGGAGAGGCUCAUGCAUGAUCACCGCCUACUCGUGCUUAGCUUUUGAUCAUUAAGUUAUGUAAUUAAAUAUUUAUAGGAAUAGUAAUUUGUCUAAAUGUUCAAGGAAAAAAAUAAGAGCAGCUAGCUCCUAUCUCACGUGUCGUCAAACAAUAAGGACAAGUUCAGAAGCCAAGGAGAAGUCAAAAAGAAGAAUAUAGAAAACUCAAGUGACCUGACCUACAGUUGGUUGCUUCUAAGAUAGAUAUCAGAAUUCAGAAGCAAGUUCUUCUUACCUUUUUCCUGGCCUCAGCCUCGUCCUUCUCUGCUUCCAAAGCUUUAUGUUUCUCAUCUAAUUUUGUGUAGAACUGGGUAAUAACAACACUGUCACUACCAGACCCUUUUUGGAACAGAAGUGCUUGCUAGGAGAUACCUGGGUAAUAACAACACUGGGUAUGAAGCUACGUAUAUCCUUCAAAACCACAGUUACACAAUGGCGCCACAUGUUUUUUUCAGAAAGAAUGGAGGGGGUAUUCCUGUGUGCCAUCAGUACACAAACACAUUCAGAUAAUAAACUCUAUCCUGCACAAUGGACAUAUGUUUGCCUUUUUCUGAAAUUUCAGAAGCAGUGUGAGCUUUGAGUUGUUCCAUAAAAUUCUUCAAAUUUCUUGACUGUUUCUGUUCAGCUUGAGACUGGAUAAUAAUGCAAGAUUGUUCUUCUAAAUGUCUCUUGGCAGAACCAAUUUCCUUUUCAAUUUCUUGACAAUGAUGUUGCAUAUUCAGUUUAGCAGUAUCAACAAAUGAGUAGGACUCAUGAAAUUUUCCCAGUACAACAGUAAGAAAUAUCAAAGCUUCCCAACUCUCCACUGUUUGUAGCUCAAGGGACCUAUAACUACCCAGUAACUCAUUCUGCAGUUGCCCGAUAAGAAUAUCUUUGGAUUCUAAAUCUGACAGGUAAAUUUUGUAACCAUCCAAAGAAAAUAGUUAUAUGGAAUGUCUGGGGUUUGAAUUCUCCAUCCAAGCAACAAUCUGUACGAACUUUCGUUGAUUCCGUUGGAGCAGACAUUGUAUGCCUGCAAGAAACCAACAUACAGAAUAUUUCUAGAGGAACUGUCUUUGCUAUUCUUGGAGUGACUUUUGAAGAAUUCCUCUUUUUACCUUCCUCUGGGGCUAGCGGUGGUAUUCUUUUAGCCUGGAAAAGGCAUGUGCAAGCAACAGGGCAUAACAGAGUGGGCUCUUAUUCUGUCCAAUUCCAGCAGUCAAAUGGCCAACCUUGGUGGUUAUCCGGUGUCUAUGGGCUUCGGGACAUUGAUGACAAGAUUCCAUUCCUCCAAAAGCAAUUGCUAUGGUAAAAAAGGUUUCAUUUUGAGUAUUUUUGGCCAAAAUUGGAGGGAUUCCAGGAAGCGUGGGCAUCGGGUGGUGGUAGCUCCUACCCCUUCCUGACUCUUGAGAUGAAGUUGAAAGCCACUGCACGUGCCCUUCAGAGGUGGAGUGAUAAAAGAUGCCGAGGUAAGGGUUGUAAUUUGUGUGAUCGUUUUAAUCACUCUUUUUAUCGAAUUGUUACAUCCAGAGUCAUCACUGUACUCUAAGUCCCGUUUGGUUCCUUUAGUCCAGGGACUAAAGUUUAGUUAGGAGACUAAAGUUUAGUCCUACCAUGUUUGGUUCUAGGGACUAAAACUAUUCAAAACACAUUAAAUGAAUCAUAAGGGGACUAAAAUACCCCUUAGCAUUCUCCCACCAUAAGUGCAGCUAAAAUAAAAGAGGGGCAAAAGUGGAAUUUAUAUGGUUUAGUCCCUUUUAGUCACCCCUUGAGGGACUAGAGACUAAAACAGUUUAGUCCCAGUUUUAGUCCCACACUUUGGCAAUUUAGGGACUAAAUGAGACUAAAAUAGAAGGACUAAUCUUUAGUCCCUCAAACCAAACGGGGCCUAAAACAGUCUGAACAAUAGAGUGUUUUCGCUUACACAAUUACAAGUGUACUACGAGUCAUAGAUAGUUGUGAAAGUGCCUGAAUGUACUUCCGAAUUAGUAUAAUGGACGUUUAGCAUAUUAUAUAUGUUUUUGACUUAAAAGUCAUUGCAAGCUGAAAUAACGAACAAAGUGUGUCCACCCUUGCACAUUGUCUGUUUUUUAGCACACAUCAAGCAACUUCCAUCCUCAAUCUCUCUGCUAAGUCAUGACGCAUUAAAAGCUUGUUUUUUGACAAUAGCCACAAAACCACAUGCGAAUCGUAUAUUGCCUCUUAGUUUAUACAUGUGAAUAUAUGAAAUAUAUGAUGCAUGUGUUACUAGAAUUUUCUUAUUGUUUUUAGUAGCAUAUAGUGGUGGGUUUCGAAGAACAAUAUGGUUUUAUGGAUCCAGCUCAAUAGAAUAAGGAUCAGUUGGAUUGCGGUACGAAAUCGGAGUUCAUACUUCAUAUAACUAUUUCUUAUUCGUGCUGAUAUUUUUUGGUGUUCAUGUACCUAUUCAUUAUGCGUCGUUUGCUUGGUACUUGCACAUGAUUCUGUCGAAUUGUCCGUUACAUGGCUCACAGGUUUUGGCCCCAGUUCAUUGAUUUGCUUGUUGGUACCGCUAUUGACCAUCCAAUGCAGUGUUCUCAAGGUCCAAAGUACGUGGACCUUCAGUUGGUGUAAUCAGAAGCAAUAUCCAAGAUAUUCAUCAUGCACUUCUACAAAAUGUAAUGUAAUCCUAAGUGUUCGUCCUUUUAUUUUCUUUUAUUUUUCUUGAGUGAAUGAAAUGUUACUAAAAUUAUUCGUUUUCCAGAUAUUUACCAUGUGCCAUAUUCUUUUUUUAUAUAUGGCCCUUGGUUCACACUAAUCCUCUCACAUACCAGUUAGCCAUGUGUUCUGUUUGACAAGGAGAAGGAAACAGGAACAAGGUCGGAGGAGAAGAGAAACUCAACUCCAGCUAAUGACAAGCCCAUGUGUGCAUUGUGAUAGGUGAGAGCUUCGAAGGCUAGCUGCUGCUUCUUGCCUCUUGCAUUUCUCUUUUCUUGCUCGCGCUCCAAAUCUUCUUAUUGCGGUGGCUUGGCAAGCGUAGUGGUUGUCUGUGUCUGCCUGGCGACGACAUUUGCUGCACGCGAUCUCUUGCAGUCGCUACUCGCUACAACAAGGCUUCUGGGGAUGCCAUUGUUAGCUGAUUCUUUUCCUCACUGGUGAAGGGCAGCUGGUUGCUUCAGCUAAAAGAGUCGAGCAGACCAACAAUGCAAUUUAGCUGGAGCAUGAUCAGAAUUCUUGUCUGUACUGCAGACACUGCUCUGGGGUCUGUUUAUGCGCAACAACGGUUUAUGAGAGGAGAGGUGGCCCCCAUCUGUGGCCGCAAAGGAGCUUGGCCAACUGCGACAACGACAUCCUGGCUCUGGUUGUAAUUGUAGUAUUUGUUGGUAAAUAAUUUUAUCGAAUAUUUUGUAUGCCGUUGCAAAGCACGGGCAUAUAACUAGUUUAUAGAAUAAAAGUACAAUAAAUUUUCAAACCAAACCCUUCCUAAAAAGAUGCUAAAACUUAUAUGGGCCGCCGAGGGAGUAACUUUAAUAGAUUGUGAGAACACAUGG